ensembl:lncRNA LINC00667 long intergenic non-protein coding RNA 667
GACACGCACUUCCGGCAGCGCCGCGGCCGGGAGGGACCGAGCGGGGAGCAAGGCCUGCGGGGAGGCGCAGGAUGGACGCGUUGGCUGUCAUGAUGUAGGACCUCCUGACCUAGAACCAUGCCCGGCGCAGGGAGAACAACGAGCUUACGGACCGGGUGCGGGGGCUGCUGUGCGAGAAAGCCUACCUGCUGGCCCGGGAGCGUUCGCCGGCCCACCUGGUGGCUUUCCCUGGACGUUUAACGGCGACUCCGCCCGGCCUCCCGACUUUUUGAUGCAGGCGUUCUCUUACAUGACUUUCUUCGAGGCUAGAUUCUCGAAAGACAUCCUGAAGGUGGCUUUCUUAAUUAGCUGCCUCACCGGCUGGCGGAGCAGUUCGUAGUCGCCUACAUCGAGAGGGAGAGCCCCGUCCUGGCUCAGUACUGGGGCUUCGUGGACGCGCUGUAGCGGGUCUUCGCCGUCGUGGGUAGGAAACAGUCGGGCCGGAUCCCCGGUGUCUGGGGAGCGGCUGCCGGCCGGGCCCGCGCGAGCCGCUUCACUCCUACAAGCCCGGCUCACUAGUUCCAAGCUGCUGGACUUUGACCCUCGCUGGGAAGCUUGAUCGCCGCCUGUUCUCGCCAAUCUCUAUGCCUUUGCACUGCCCAGCAACCCGGUCACUGCCCAGGACCUGUUAAAAGUUGAAUGGACCUCCCAGAAUCACGCCGCUGCCACCGCCGUUUCUAGAGACGGCUUUUGGCCACCUUUGAGAAUCAGGGUCAAACUUGGAAGGGCCUGCAUUUGUCACACUUCCUCGGACACUAAUUUGGAUAGUUCAGGCCCAGAGACGGCUUCCCGGGUUAGUGUGCCUGACAACACUGAAGAAAAAUUGUGACAUUUUCCUUCCCCAGAAUUACUUCGUUUUAUACAUUUCACUUCUCUUCUGAAAUCACAGCAAUGCCAGUUUGCGCCUUUUGGUCUGAGGAACGCAGGCCCUGGCCACUACCAGGAAAAAAUCCUUUGCACAUGGCCUGCUAUCAACAAUCCUCUACAAUGAUUCUCAGCAUCACCUAGGGAGCUUAUGUAAAAUCUCAAAUUCCUGGGCCCUAUCCCCAGAGUUUCUUAUCAAGUAAGUCUGCAUUGGGAUCUGAGGAUUUGCAUCUCUAACAAAAAUUCCUAGGCGAUGCUCACACUGUUGGUGUAAGGUUUCCUUGAUGGAGAACUAUCAAAGCAGUCAAAGCUAUCAAAAUAAAAAAGAAUUCUGAUUGGGUGCAGUGGCUCACACCUGUCAUUCCAGCACUUUGAGAGGCCAAGGUGGGCAGAUCACAUGAGGCCAGGAGUUCAAGACCAGCCUGGCCAACAUGGCAGAAACCCCAUCUCUACUAAAAAUACCAAAAUUAGCCGGGCAUGGUGGAACACACCUGCAAUCCCAGCUACUCGGGAGGCUGAGGCAAGAGAAUCGCUUGAACCUGGGAGGCAGAAGUUGCAGUGAAACAAGUUGGUGCCAAUGCAUUCCAGCCUGGAUGAUGGAGCGAGACUCUGUCUCAAGAAAAAAAAAACAAAAACAAAAACAGAACUCUGCCUCAUAGCGUCUUUUAAGUUAUACACUGGACCUAUCCUUUCCUCACUGACAGACAUUUUAAAAAUUUUUUGGUAAGGCCUAGUUCAUAUAAAAUGUAAUCCAAGCCAAAAGUUAACAAGAAUAAGGGGAGGAAAGGGGACUCCAAUAGCAGAGAAAGGUAUUUACCUGGGAUAUACACUGCAAGAAAAUCAAAGCUAUAAGAAACGUCCAUGAAUAGUAGCCAUAAGGCAUCAGAGUGAUAAAAUUCCUGUCCCUAGGAGGGAAUAUUGGAGUUUGCCAGAGAAACAGAAUGAGAGAGACAGAGAGGUUUAUUGUAGGAAUUGGCUCAUAUGAUUACGGAGGCUGAGAAGACCCACGAUCUGCCAUCUGCAAGCUGGAGAAUCAGGAAAGCUGGAGGUGUAAUUCAGUCAAGUCCAAUGGCCAGAGAAGCAAGUGUACUGAUAUCCAAGAGCAGGAGAAAAUAGAUGUCCCAGAACAAGCAGAGAGGCUGAUUUUGUCCUUCCUCUGCCUUUUUGUUUCAUAUGGGGCACUGAAUGGACUGAUGCCCAUCCACAUUAGUGAGGGUGGAUCUUCUUUACUCAGUCUACCAGUAGAAAUGUCAAUGACUUCCAGAAACACCCUCACCAACACACGUGGAAAUAAUGUUUUACCAGGUAUCUGGGCAUCCCUUGGUUCACUCAAGUUGACACAAAAUUAACCAUCACAGAAGGAGACUGGCCUUACUCUGAAAUUAGGAAACUAAAGAAGUGACCAGAAUGGAGACUAGGUAGAGACAACUAGUUCUCUACCAAACAUGUACAGUUAUUCGUUGGUAUCUGAAGGGGAUUGGUUCCAGGAACUCUCAGGGAUACCAAAAUCUGCAGGUGCUCAAGUCAUUUAUAUAAAAUAUUACAGUAUUUGCAUAUAACCUUUGCACAUCUUCCAUAUACUUUAAAUCAUCUCUACAUUACUUAUAAUAAUGAAUGUGUAAAUGCUAUGAAAAUAGUUACUACACUAUUGUUUAUUUGUAUUUUUAUUGAAUUGUUUUGGGGUGGGGGGCAGCUGUAUCUUUCUUAGUAAUAGAACCCCUGGUUUUAGCUGGGCACAUGACUGCCCUCAAUAAAGAUUAAAGUACCCCAGCCUUCCUUGAGAUUGUGGCCAUGUGACUGAACUUUAGACAGUGAGAUAUAAGCAGAUAUCUUCUGUGGCAGUGUUAGGAAACUAUUAAAGACAGUAAGAACAUUGCCCUUUGCCUUCUUUUUCCUUUCUUCAUUUUUCUGCCUGGAAUGCAAAUGUGAUGGCUAACACCCUAGCAGCCAUUUUAGAUUAUGAAGAUGAGAGUCACUCCCCAGGAAGGGUGGACCUGAAAGCUGGAUUCUAGAUGUGGAAUGACAAUACCAGCCCUGGACUACCUACCUGUAGGCUGUGUGUGUGUGUGUGUGAUUGACAGAGAGAGAGAGAGAUAGAUACCACAAGUAACACAAAGCAUCAUACCUGGGACUGGGAAGGUUAAUGUUUAAACAUUUUAAAUGUGGCAUUGGUUUGUUGAAGACAGUCAAGCAGUAGGUGCUGCAGGCUUUGUUGAGGCUAGAAAGCUGUUGGUCUUUAUUAGGUGAUGGCAAAACAAUGGAUCACAUUUUCAUGUGCUGUGUCUUGGGAGGCAAAUGAUGAGAAUGUAGGAUUGGGGAAAAUGGUAAGGAAAAUCCAAAAUGUUCAUGUUUUCUAACCCCUUCUUGCCAAUCUUAAAAGAAGGACAAACAGGCUAGAUUAAGCAAGUCUACAGUUACAAUUGGAAGGAAACACAGCCGUACUAAGGAAGUACUCUGUCUGUGGCCUGCAGUCUAGUUUGACUAGGUCCUGUAUUUGAGCUUUGAAAGAGUAAAGAAUACAAGUGCUCGUAUACCCCUGAAGUAGUUACCAGCAGUGACUGCAAGGAGGUAAUCUUAUGGGAUGAAACUAUAACUCUGUAUUAACCAUCAUAUAUAGCAUAUAUGUGUAUAUGUAUGUGUGUGUGUGUAUAUGUGUAUAUAAAUAUAUGUGUGUGUAUAUACACACAUGUACACACCCUACAACCCAGUGAUUUCAAAAAAUUAAACAUUUGUUUAGCUCAUGAAUCUGUGGGUUGGGUGAACAUUUCUAUUGGUCUUGGCUGGGCUCACCUGUACCCAGUCAGCUGCAGGGUCUAGCUCUUCUUAUCUUGGCUGGGAUCUCACACAUGUCUAGGAUCAGCUGCUUUACUAGUCUAGGAUUGUCUUGGCUGAGACAGGUGGACUACUCAGUUCUCCUCCACUGCCUUAUCCUUCAGCUGGCCAGCCCAGAAAUGUUGCCAUGUUUACAGCAUAAGAGCAAGCAAGAAAGAAUAAUAUGCAACCACUUUUCCAAGCCUAAGGUGAAAGGGCGGGCAGAACCUGUGGUGUUAGGAGGCAACUCAUACCAGCCCAUGGGUCUACCGUUUAAUUUUCAGAAAUUUGGCAAGCUGAUUGUUAACACAGCUGUUGUUUAAUUUAUGUACUUGUAAUUAAAUAAUUUACAUUAAAACAAAGAUAAUAGGUACUCAAAACUCAUGACUUUCUAGUUAUUUUAUUAUAUUUUACUAUUGUCUGUCCUCUUAAGGUGUUUGUUUCUAGUGUAUCUGGUGGAAACACUACUUCAUGUUUCAGUUGUGUCAAACCAGUAGCUUGAAAUCAGCCACUGUUGGAGUGUUUAUACCACAGAAAUUGAUAGAAGCUACAAAUGAAGUGUUGCUUGUUGAUUUGUUUUGUUAAUUGUCUGGCUUAAGAAAGUGGUAGAGAAAACAUUAAUGCAGAUUAAAUUUAAAAGCGUGUUGUGUCUGCGGCCGUUACAUUGCAAAUACAAAAAAUAAUUGAGGAAAUGUUCUUUGAAAACUAUUAUCUAAUUCUGCAAAGUUGUCACCUCAUUUACAAACA